CAGUCGAGCGAUGGAUUAAGAGCUUGCUCUUAUGAAGUUAGCGGCGGACGGGUGAGUAACACGUGGGUAACCUGCCCAUAAGACUGGGAUAACUCCGGGAAACCGGGGCUAAUACCGGAUAACAUUUUGAACUGCAUGGUUCGAAAUUGAAAGGCGGCUUCGGCUGUCACUUAUGGAUGGACCCGCGUCGCAUUAGCUAGUUGGUGAGGUAACGGCUCACCAAGGCAACGAUGCGUAGCCGACCUGAGAGGGUGAUCGGCCACACUGGGACUGAGACACGGCCCAGACUCCUACGGGAGGCAGCAGUAGGGAAUCUUCCGCAAUGGACGAAAGUCUGACGGAGCAACGCCGCGUGAGUGAUGAAGGCUUUCGGGUCGUAAAACUCUGUUGUUAGGGAAGAACAAGUGCUAGUUGAAUAAGCUGGCACCUUGACGGUACCUAACCAGAAAGCCACGGCUAACUACGUGCCAGCAGCCGCGGUAAUACGUAGGUGGCAAGCGUUAUCCGGAAUUAUUGGGCGUAAAGCGCGCGCAGGUGGUUUCUUAAGUCUGAUGUGAAAGCCCACGGCUCAACCGUGGAGGGUCAUUGGAAACUGGGAGACUUGAGUGCAGAAGAGGAAAGUGGAAUUCCAUGUGUAGCGGUGAAAUGCGUAGAGAUAUGGAGGAACACCAGUGGCGAAAGCGACUUUCUGGUCUGUAACUGACACUGAGGCGCGAAAGCGUGGGGAGCAACAGGAUUAGAUACCCUGGUAGUCCACGCCGUAACGAUGAGUGCUAAGUGUUAGAGGGUUUCCGCCCUUUAGUGCU
rnacentral:rRNA from 1 species